rnacentral:misc_RNA from 1 species
CUGGACUGCCACAGUAAUAAACCAUGGCAGCUCGCAAAAAAUGCCACGCUUCAUCCUCAAUAGACUCCGUAUUGGUUCUAGGCCUACUAUUAACUGAAGCAGCAGUCUUAAAACCUUCACUGAAAGGCCUAGCUCCAUUUUCCUGCUUCAUGUUCUGUUCAUCUGGAGCAAGAUUUGGAAUCUUUGGAGACACAGUGUGCAUCGACUUCCCAUUUCCACCUUUAAUGAUUGUCUCACUGACUCUUUCAGGUUGUUGACAAUUGCAGAUCAAUAAGUUUGACUGACUAAGAAGCUUUUCUCCGCAGAAAACACUAUGUAAGCCAUGAAAAGCAUGUAAACUCGAGCAAUCUUGCAGCUUUUUUAUACUGUUUAUCUGCUUAUACCUCCAGUCCCCGUAAUUUCUAGCUUUAAAACAACGUUCAUAACAAAGUAAAGAGUUUGACUUCGCCAAGAUUGAACUUGUUCGGACUUGACAUGAAAGCUCACCGGAUAAAAGCUGUAGGGCAG